GAGCCAUUGCCCCCAACGCCACCCACCCCUUCUGCCCCCCAUCCUAUGAUAUUUGCUGUCCUGCUCUAAACUUAGCUGUGACAGAGCCACUCCUCAUCACAACAUGCAUUGGAGUACAAAAGAUGGGAUCAAGUUUCCUCAGAUGCUGCUGUAUAUCAGUCGUGACGCAGUAAAAAUAAGUGGACUGGGAAGAACUUCUAAUUCCAAGACACAUCAAAUUUGACGUGAGACUGCACUGGUUUCUGCAUGUUUUCUCUCUGCUCACUCGUUCUCACCUGUCAUUUGGAGAUGUAGUCCAGCCAUGCUUUUUUUCUGCUUGUGCUCAACUGUAAUAUGAUGGGCAACUAUAACUCAGCCCUCAUUCCUGACACAGAAGAGUUUGAUUCCAUUAUAUGGUCGAAUCUGAACGAGCAGAGAGCUCCUGCUGCAGAUGAGGCGCUACAGUCAGAUCUCCAUUCUCUGGGAAGUAUAAAAUUAAGACAAGUGUUUGCGUUGUGCUGCAACGCCUCUCUGAAAACUUGGAGCACUGUUUGAAAAGUGUGUCUGGUGUGUUUGUGUUCCCACUGUCCUUGGGAUAAAUUUAGCUUUCCUGAGCCACCUCAUACACACAGAGACAUGCAUUGCAGCUGAAGAUAUCUACUUUUGCUCCUUACUUGUGACAAAGGCACUUACUCCCCCAGUGACAGAUGAGUUCUGUCACGGAAAUUAAUAACUUGACCAGAAUCAAAAUCCUCUUUGGUGACUUUAUUGAAGACAAACUGGAACAAUGUCUCUUCAGUUUAUUGGUUGUCUUAAAGUGAUGUGAAAGAUUUCUCAGACAUGAAAUCCAACCUUUACUUUGAGUACAAUUGUGACCCACUAGCAUGUUUAGCUGUAGAAAAAAACAAUCUUUUUCCAACUUGAAAUUUUAUGACUUUUCCUGGAUUAUCUUAUGGGUCGUUUCUGACCCGUGAAUUCUAAAACCAUUUAAACAACAGAAAAAAGUUCAAAGGUCACACAGAAAUUGUCUCUAAUACAUACACACACACACACCUACACUCCUGCACAUGCCUCCACACACACACACAUGAAAUAAACUGGAUUGAUAUUUAAAUUGAACUUGUAUUUGACCUGCACCUUCAGCUAACCCCUCACAUCACACAAGCUCCCAAACACAACAAAAAAUAAUCUCAGACACAAUAAAAAACAAAUUCAGUAUAGAGGAUAUAAAGGUGCCCUAAAUCAAAAUAUCCCCAGUUGAUUCCUUGCUGAAGCCAUAUGUAGAUGUUGCACAUUCACACAUACUGUCUUAUGGUCAAGAUGUUCGAAAUCUUGACCAUAAGAAUUUAAACUUGAACAUCUUGAUCUGCAAGAUGAACAUAAGUCCUGCAAAAUAACUUUGCUGGAUGCUAAACAUAAGAUGUCUAACAUCUUAUGUUGAACAUCUUAUGUCGAAAAUGUUUUUAUGUUGAACAUCUUCAAAAUUUUAUGUUGAAGGAUGUUGUAUGAGAGAAGUAUUUUUUCAUAAUUGAUGUCCUAUACAGUAUAAAAGAAUGAACUGUUGACAAAAAAAGUUACUGACUGUUGACUUUUUUCCCCUUUCAGUUUAGUUGGUUCAGAAGUAAUUACUUCACAUUCAUAUAAUUACAAUAAUAAACCUUCACUGUGUAAAAAAAAAAAAAAACUUAUGACAGUUGGUUUGUUUUAAAAGGAAAAGGCUAAUACUGUUGAUCGUCUUUUUGUGUUGUGUAACAAAAAAAUACAUGAUAAAAAUGAAUGCAAUUAUGUUGAAUUGAUAACAGAUUGUUUCAUCAUGCAAAAUAGAUUUUGGAUUUUAAAUUCAAGUAAGCUGCUUUAUUCUGGAGCUUUUGUUAGGGUGAGUCAUUUUUGACCCGUAGGACAAGGAAAGUGAACAGAAUGUUAAGAUCGCAUCAGGAGUCAGGGAAAAAUCUGACAUUAAGGAUUGUUUUAAACAAGAUUACUACCCUUAUUUGCACCUCUGCUGGUAAUGCUGGUAUUGCUCUUUUGUAAAAUUAGUUAGGUGGAUUUUGUUGCAGUAUAUGCUCUUGUCUUUCACAUUUUGAAGAGUGGCUGAGAAAAAAGUAUGUUGGGAAUUGCUAGUGGCGCCAACAAUUGUGAUUAAGUUGAAACCUUUAAUGUUAAUACAAAGUGCUUGCGGAAACGAGCACUUUGUAUUGCCUUGUUGCUGAAAAUGUGCUAUAUAAAUAAAAUCACCUUUUACCUACCUUUACCUUGAUAGAUGUAUGAUUCCAGCUGAAGGCAAGUAUUCACAGUAAAGGAUUUUUUAUUUUCAAACUUUCUUGGGUAUCAAAUGUCAGAUUUAUUUUAAAGCAUUUUACACAAUCAGAUGGUCAAAUAAUCAUGGAAGCUGUUGUAUGUGUCAGAAAACUCAAACUGGACUUUAUUUACAGGUAACAUUUAUGAUUGAGAAGGAAAGAAGAGAAAACCAAAGUGAAGCAAUGAACUCUUCAGCAAAUGAAGAGACCAUUCAGGAAACAAGUCAGAAUUGUUCUCCCCUUCAAGCUGCAGACAAGAAUAUGUCAAAGGAGUCUUUCUCCUCGCUGCUGCCGAAGGCUCUCUCUGCUGUGCUGAAUCCAGGAGUGCUCCCAAGCCUGAACUCAGAUCCCCGACCAAGAAGCCCGGAGAAAAAUAUCAAGCCAAACGUAGAACAGCUGCAGGCUGAGUUAAAAGACCUCAGGGACCAGUUCGAACAGAUGAAGAGUCGACACAACAAAGAAAUUAAGCUGCUGAUGAAUGAGCUUGAUGAGGAGAAGAGGAUUCGCUUAACUUUACAGAUGGAAAUCCAGCGGAUGAAGAAGCACAUGUCGAAAUGAACAAGAAGGACUGGAUCCAGGGCAAGAGUUUCUGUUGUACCAUAUGCUUUGUGUAACUUUUUAAAGAAACUGAACAAGAAAAUAAUCUUUUUCAUGCUUUUUAAAAAGGAAAAUGGACAGUUUGUUAUUAAAAUCUUGGUUUUGUGGACAAAAAGUCUUGAUUAGGAUGUUUCAUUCCAGGAAACAUUCAGGUUUGGACACAUUUAUCUAAAACAAAUUGCAUGAUACAUUUGUCUUUUGGCCUGAAGCUGAGCAGUUCCUUUAUUUUUUUGCUACUGUAACUAAUGUUGUGAUGUGAGGAAGGUGCUGAUUAUGUCUUUGUAGCAAGAAGAAAUAAAUGUAUCCAUUCAAACACAGAAAAAUAUUGUUGCCAUCAUAAACUGAAAUGGAGAAAGUACUGAAAUUAAACCAGUAUUGAUGGAGAAGAA